rnacentral:rRNA from 1 species
UACGGGGGGGGGCAAGCGUUGUUCGGAAUUACUGGGCGUAAAGGGCUCGUAGGCGGCCAACUAAGUCGGAUGUGAAAUCCCCAGGCUUAACCUGGGAACUGCAUCCGAUACUGGAUGGCUUGAAUUCGGGAGAGGGAUGCAGAAUUCCAGGUGUAGCGGUGAAAUGCGUAGAUAUCUGGAGGAAUACCGGUGGCGAAGGCGGCAUCCUGGACCGAGAUUGACGCUGAUGAGCGAAAGCUAGGGAAGCAAACGGG